rnacentral:rRNA from 1 species
AUUGAACGCUGGCGGCAUGCUUUACACAUGCAAGUCGAACGGUAACAGGGUGCUUGCACCGCUGACGAGUGGCGAACGGGUGAGUAAUGCCUCGGAACGUGCCGAGUAGUGGGGGAUAACGCAGCGAAAGUUGUGCUAAUACCGCAUACGUACUGAGGUAGAAAGUGGGGGACCUUCGGGCCUUACGCUAUUCGAGCGGCCGACGUCUGAUUAGCUAGUAGGUGAGGUAAAGGCUCACCUAGGCGACGAUCAGUAGCGGGUCUGAGAGGAUGAUCCGCCACACUGGGACUGAGACACGGCCCAGACUCCUACGGGAGGCAGCAGUGGGGAAUUUUGGACAAUGGGCGAAAGCCUGAUCCAGCCAUGCCGCGUGUCUGAAGAAGGCCUUCGGGUUGUAAAGGACUUUUGUCGGGGAGGAAAUCCCCAGCGUUAAUACCGCUGGGGGAUGACAGUACCUGAAGAAUAAGCACCGGCUAACUACGUGCCAGCAGCCGCCGUAAUAC